rnacentral:rRNA from 1 species
UACGUAGGUGGCGAGCGUUGUCCGGAUUUAUUGGGCGUAAAGCGCGCGCAGGCGGUGCGGUAAGUCCGCUGUGAAAUCUCCCGGCUCAACUGGGAGGCGCGGUGGAGACUGCCGGACUGGAGGGACCGAGAGGCCGGUGGAAUUCCCGGUGUAGUGGUGAAAUGCGUAGAGAUCGGGGAGGAACACCCGUGGCGAAGGCGGCCGGCUGGGGGUUACCUGACGCUGAGGCGGCGAAAAGCGUGGGGAGCGAACCGG